GCUUAGCUCUCCUGCAAAGCACAUGGAGUUGGUUCUCCCAGACUGCCUGGUGCCCACGUGUGUUCUCAUUAUUAUGGUUGUUUUGAAAUCAUGAGUUUGUACUGAUUUGAGAGAUGUGAAAACUCUAGUUCUGUAUUUUCUUCCCCUUUAAAAAUAAUUCUGGACAGGGUAAACAAGCCACAGCAGGGAGACCAUUUUGCUGUGAAAUCAUUUGUUUCUCUUACUUCCUGACCACCUUACUCCCCUCUGAGAUGAUCAUGUUGAUGUGGCUAGUUUAUUUCUAGUUCCCUUGUUCUACAUACCUGCUCUCAAGAUAAAGAUGAAGCUCUGGAGAUUAUAUAUAAAACAAACUUAAGAUCUUAAAGGUGGAGAGAAGAAAGCAGACUGGCCAGAAACCUCAGGACCCAAGGAAUGACAUUCAAGAGUGUGCACAAAUAACCUUAUCUACAAACUAGAAACAGACUCACAGAUGCAGAGAACACCCUUGUGGGUGCGUGUCGGGUGGGGGUAAGGUCAAGUGCGAUGGCUUCCUGUUUUGUCUGCUGCAUCCACACUUGCCCUUCACAAUCUAUUCUCAGAAACCAGGGAACAAGAAAACAGGCUUUGGAGCUAGAGAAGGACACCCCUUUUUCUCCCCAGCAGUGGAGAGUGAUGUCGAUCAAACGCCAUGAGCACGGAUCUUAAAGCAAUAUUGGCAUUUUCAAAGCUCCUAUUACUGAUUAACCUUUGCAUUCCUUUUCCUCCUUGAGGAGUCUGAAUUUCUGGUCUUUUAUCAGGACCUCUUAACAUCCAGAAUGUGGAUCUAUCUAUAAUUGCACUUUUUUAAAAUCCGUUCAUGAUGUUUCUAUGCAUUCUUUCCAGACUUCUGCUGUUUAUCUGAGCUAUUGAAGGGCAGAAGGAAGAUUACUGAUUCAUUCCUAAAAUUCAGUAGGCAGUCCAUACGUGAUUUUUUAACUAAUGAACUCAAAGAGUCAUAGAAUAUUUCAUGGGAAAAAAAUUCAUUCCUCUUAUUCUGCCAAAGUUGCAAGUCAUCAUAUGCAAUGAUAAGAAAUGUUGGCUGUACUAGAUCAAAUUAAAUGCAGUACGAAAAGAAAGUGCUGUCUCAGAAAAAGAGAAGGUUGAUUCCAAUUUUCUCUAAUAUGAGUAAUACUUCAAUGAAAAAUCACAGAAGCAAAUUUUUGAGUGCGUCUCCAGUUAUACUGGAAAUAUUGCUGUUGUUUAGUUGCUAAAGUCUCUUUUGAUACCCUGUGGACUGUAGGCUGCCAGCUCCUCUGUUCAUGGGAUUUCCCAAGC